AAUAACCGAGCAUUCGCGAUGCACUGUCCCGCCGUUUUCUGACACUUUUAUCGGCCCCACCCCGACCGAACGGUCUUAAACUCAGGAACAGGAGUUCUAUUUUUUUUUUUUUGUUUAAUAUAUAGGCGGAUUAAAGCGAUACAGUUCGGGUCGGAUUUCAAUAAGAUUUUCGCCUUGACGUGUUGUCGCGGAAAGUAUCGAGAAUGCAUCUAUCGGAGGUAUAAACAGACUUUUAACUAUUGACGCGCUCGGAUCGCGGGCUUCGAAAACCGGGCGAUUACAUUUUGGAUCGUUUCGGAACAAGUCGGGCCUCAGGGAAAUUCGACCAACGGCGACCAUCCGAAAGUCGACGGCACCCAUUGUCUGUAAAUAACCCGUGCGCCUGUAUAUUAAUAUUGUAUCCGAAUAUAUUCUAGUCUAGUCGUUUU